AUUCCAAUCCCCGCACAACGCCUGCUGACGUCACGCGCCUCCGUCGUCCACCGCGAGCCGUGAUUGGGUCGCGUCAUUUCCGGGAGGACCGACACUACUGUAACCCUUUCACGGCCACAGUCGAGCGUGAAGGUGCCCACUGGGUAGGAAAACAGCCCUGUGAAGAUUUUCAUUCCAUGGAAAUAUAACUACAUAAAAGUUUAGAAAAACAUGUGGCUGCAGGGGUCUGAGACGAGGAGGUGCAAAGGAGGCAUUUGAAACCGCAUUCCUCGGAAGUUGUGGAGCCGUAUCCGUAUUCGGGUGCUCCUAUGGGCCAGUGAUCAAAGUGGAGGUCUUGCCUCCUCUCCUUUCUGUCCAGCAUUCCAUCCUCUCAUUCUUUCCUUUGGAGCUAAUAUUGCAAGUCACAUUUAUAUUCACAGGUUGUCCUUUGAACAUGUUUGACUGGCACACACGGAACCUUUUUCUUUAAUUUUCUGUGCUGAUUUUAGAUGGAAAUUAUAUAGAAUUGAUUUGAAUAUGGUAAAAUGUGAUUGUUUAAUGCAAUCACAAUGACACCAGACAUGCUUUGAUUGUCAAAGUAGGACUUAUCACUUUCUAUUCAUUG